rnacentral:rRNA from 1 species
UGGGGAAUAUUGCACAAUGGGGGGAAACCCUGAUGCAGCGACGCCGCGUGAGUGAAGAAGUAUUUCGGUAUGUAAAGCUCUAUCAGCAGGGAAGAAGAAAUGACGGUACCUGACUAAGAGGCCCCGGCUAACUACGUGCCAGCAGCCGCGGUAAUACGUAGGGGGCAAGCGUUAUCCGGAUUUACUGGGUGUAAAGGGAGCGUAGACGGCAAUGCAAGUCUGAAGUGAAAGGCCGGGGCUCAACCCCGGGACUGCUUUUGAAACUGUGGAGCUAGAGUGCAGGAGGGGCAAGUGGAAUUCCUAGUGUAGCGGUGAAAUGCGUAGAUAUUAGGAGGAACACCAGUGGCGAAGGCGGCUUGCUGGACUGUAACUGACACUGAGGCUCGAAAGCGUGGGGAGCAAACAGGAUUAGAUACCCUGGUAGU